rnacentral:tRNA from 1 species
GCGGGUGUAGCUCAAUGGUAGAGCACCAGCUUCCCACGCUGGCGAUGUGGGUUCGAUUCCCAUCACCCGCUCCA